CCGAUCGCCCCGUCGGGGAUCGGCAAAGUCCAAAGGGGCGUCGGCUCUUUGGGCGCCCCUCGUACCAUGUUGCUCAAUGGAGGAUGUGGCUAUGAGAG
rnacentral:sRNA from 1 species